rnacentral:rRNA from 1 species
UACGAGAGGCCCAAACGUUAUUCGGAUUUACUGGGCUUAAAGAGUUCGUAGGCUGCACAGAAAGUAGGGUGUGAAAGCCCUCGGCUCAACCGAGGAAUUGCGCUCUAAACUGCUGUGCUUGAGGAACCUAGAGGUGAGCAGAACUGAUGGUGGAGCGGUGAAAUGCGUUGAUAUCAUCAGGAAUACCGGAGGCGAAGGCGGCUCACUGGGGUUUCUGACGCUGAGGAACGGAAAGCCAGGGAGCGAACGGG